AGGUGGACGGUCCGGUGGUAGCGCGCGUCGUUCGGGACGAAGAGGCCGGUGGUUCGAGUCCACUCACCCCGACCA
rnacentral:tRNA from 1 species